GUGGCCGCCUCAGCAGCACAUAUACUAAAGUUGGAAUGAUACAAAGAUUAGCAUGGCCCCUGCGCAAUGAUGACACACAAGUUUGUGAAGCAUUCCGUAAGAGA